ACACAAGGAUUAUGUCCCAAGUGGUAUAGAAUCAGUGGAUAAACCAUCAUGCACCACAUUACCAUCAAAGAAAAAAUGGACAAUGGAAUAGGACAUUUGAAUUUUAUAUGGACUUUAAAGAUUAAAGUGUACCAAGAGAGGCAGAAGCACUGAACUUAAAAAACAAAUGCAAAUUUCUUGCUGAUAGAAGUAUUCAUCAGAAAAAGAGUAAAAUGCAACAUAUGCUGAGACUUAAUCAGCAGAUACGAAAGCUGAUUCCAAUGAGCCCCCGUUAAACGUAAUGGCGGAAGAUGAGGAUGCAAAUUUAGGACGUUUGGUCUUGCAGUAACAAAUGAUUCUGUAAUAAACCCUUUAAAUUUAAACAGUAAUUGGAAGAUUAUCUCCUCAUGAAAUACCCUGGACUUAUUCAUAAACAAGAGUCGUCUGUAUGCUUCAUGUUUUAGAUUGAAGAUUGAACGUGUAUGUGUUAUAUCUGUAUUACUCUCUCUGCUUCCCAUCUGCAACAUGUGUACCUGUGGUGUAACCUCAUGGUUUAGUUUUUAUUCGUUUUAAAAUCUUAAUAUCAGCAAUAAGAUGUUGUAAUUUCUUAUGUGUUACUUUUAUGUUUAAGGUCAAGUGAACAUGAUUGAAAUAUGUAUUGCAUAUAUUUUAAAAGUAUAUUACGAUGUAUUUUAGAAUACUUAACGUUUUUAAAAAAGGACAAUCAUAUUAAAAUAUCUAAUAUUUACAUGUAGUGUAUAUUUCCCCUUAUGUUUGCAGAGGACAUCUGUGACGUUCAAUUUCUCAUGACACCUGUGGGUUUUAGCUCUGCUGGCCAUUGACCAGAAGAGUGUAUGUGAUGAUCUGUUUGUGUAGCUUUCUGUUUGUCUCUCUGUGAACAAUUUUCAAAUGCUACUACUAUUACAGCUAUCAAGAAUGUUCACAUAUAUAUACAUGUCUUGUGUUUGAAAUCAUGCAUGACACAUUUUUCUAACUUUGAGAAAUAAAAUAUAUAAUCUUUAACUGAC
rnacentral:sRNA from 1 species